AAAUCCCUCAUUCGACAAUCCUAGAUUCAAUUCUACACCCUAGCCUCCCACCCCCUUCAUUGCAAACCCUCUGGUUCAUCAUCCUCGUGGUCUCUAUUUCUGUUUUUCUUUAUCAAAGAUUGAGGAUAAUCAAAUCACAGGUUAAAGAAUACAAGUUUUUGUCAUCGCUAAAUCAACUACAAUCCAGAGGAUGUUCUUUAUCUUCAAGUUAUUUAACCUUGAAUCAUCUACGUUCCAACCAUGUUCUCUGUCUUGAUUUCAAGGGCGUCAUUGAUUUGUGUUUUGUUUGUUCUUCAAUACGCGAAUCGCUUAAUUUUGGGAUUAGGGUCCAAUGAUGACGAUUUCUUUCUGGCUUUCUCUGCGUUGGAUCUAGCAACAACUCAAACAAUUGCACGACCAACUGCACCCGACUUCCCGCGACCAUGACUAACAAGCAAAGCCAUUGUGCUACACAGUGUUGUAUCCAAAAUUGCAUCAACAAAGCGUGAUGGUUAUUAAAGUUGAUUGUUGAUGAUAGUUUCAAAAGUUGAAGUUUUUAAAUCCUAACCUCUUAACCACCUCAAUUUGGUUUUCUAUAAUCUAACUAGGUGAGGUGAUUAUGGCUGAAAUAUACAUCCGAUGUUUGCUUUUUUGUUUCUAUAAUUGUGCUAGAGCAUCAAGUGAUGAUACAUCGUGUAGCCAUGUUUCAUUUUCAGUUUGUUGAUGUGGACAUGGCAAGAUCUUUUACCGUGAGAUUCAUUAUAUAACUGUGUAUAUUUGCUAUUUUUUUAUUAAAUAUUUUAGGAGUAUGAUCCUGAUCUCCCACCAGAGCUAUCAUCUCAUCUGAAAACCAUUUCUUUGGAAAAGUGAAUGUGCAAAGUGACUUAGUUAAGGGAUCUAUACUUUCUCGAAUGUAAUUGGUAUGGACUAAUCUUUGUUUAAAUUGUUUCGUUAUAAGGGUUUAAAGGAUUUCAAGUUUUUGGGUUUAAAGGAUUUCAAGUUUUUGGGUGAGCAGACGAAGAUCACACUGUAACUUUUUAAACGUUCAUUUUUCUGACUUUUGCAUAAAUUGAUCAAGUGUGGCUUUGGUGUUCAUAUUAAUAGAUGCGCUUUUGUGUUCCUAUCUUCCCAUUGACAGAGGUUAAACUGAAGACACUGGCUGAAAUCGAUGCACAAGGAAAGAUUCUUCCUAAGUUUUUAGUUUGUUCGAAAUUCAUAUUUUAUAGGUUUUCAUUUCGUUUUUGUUCUAAAUAUGCAUGAUACUAAUGGCGAUUUUAAUUUCUUGAAGUCAGGGUUACACAAAUGGGCGGGUGAUGCAUACGAGUUUAAUAAAAAAGAACCCUACAUUGAGCUCAUGACUUCUCCAAACAACCCUAAUGGAUUCACGAGACAUGACGUAGUCAAAGGAGAUAAGGGGAUUUAGAUUGAUGAUCUUGCUUAUUACCGGCCACAUUAUACACCGAUUUUAUCGCUAUAUGAGUAUGAUAUAAUGAUCUUUACUGUCUCUAAAAGUACGGGCCAUGGUGAUUCACGAAUCAGUUUCGGUUGUACAAGGUGGAAAGCAAGCAAGUGGCAGCUCAAUUUCCUUCAACGUUUUACGCAAUCCUUGGCCUAGGGAAAAAUGACAUAUUUGUAUCUGAUAGUGCACAGUUCCACCUUUCCCACCUUCAGGUUUCUGUUUGAUUUACAUUUAGUUUGUAUUUGAUGACAUAUUUUUUGCAUUUUAGUGUUUUCCUCUUUGAAUAAUUAUAUUUAGAUAAUAUGAUCUGGUUACCGUAAACAGAUAGUAAUAACGUUUGCAUCUGACCUUUACUUUUUAUUAGUUUUUGUGUUAGGCCUUAUUUGGGUCUAAAGUUACAAUGGCGGCACAAGAUCCGUCAUGACUCAUAUCUGGUAACUUUUCCAUUAAUCGUAUUGUGUAUUGUUUGUACCGGCUUUCAUGAUACGUCAACUAUUGCUCAAGACUGAAGUUAUAGAUGAUUAACAUAAAUCUAGGCUUACAAUUACAUGAUGCAUAAAUAAAUGCCCAAGACUGAAGUUAUAUGGCUUUCAUGGAAUUACCCCUGUGCAGUUGACCACUGAUCUCAAACCAAGUGUACCUUGUAAGUAUUGAUAAAUUAAAGAGUAAAUUACUUUUUAGUCCUUGUGUUUUAGUGGUUUCAACCAUUUGAGUCCAAACAAAAUGUUUAACGCCCUGAUUCCCUUGAUGUUUUUUAUAACUUUUUGAGUCCUUCUGCAUUUUUAACCUUUUGAGUCCAUUUUUUUAACAAAGUUGGUCUCAAAACGUUAUAAAAUGAACAAUUUUUUUAACAAUUUUUAACCUGUUGUUACCUGAGAUGAGAAAGGUUAGCUGUUGGCCAAACGUGUUGCUGACAAAAGCAAUAUACAUGCUUCUAUAUGCAAGGUAAUUUUGCACUUUAAUCGUUUAUGACAAAAUAUAGGUGAUUCGGAUGUAUCUUUUUCAUCUAUGUCGAAUAAUAUUAGGGGUAAGUCUUCAUUUUUGUGUUGGUUCUAAUUGUAUCUGAUGCUCAUCAGAAAAAUAAUAGUAAAUAAAAGCUUGAAAUUCACAGUAGUUCAAUUGACAAUAGUUCAUGAUUAGUUUCAGUUAGUUCAUGAUUGCAGUUAAACUUAAAUAAUGCAGAAAAACAAGGUAGAGGUGGCAAAGUGGGUGAGUGGGUUGGGUAAUGGGUCAAUAUGGAUUUCGGUCAUAUGGGUGAUAUUUUGGUUUAGGUUGGGCGUGUGUUCGUUUAUAUGGGUGUAUCAAUUAUCAGCAGGGGUUGUAAUGGGAAAGUCGCCCUUGCAUCAACUCCUUGGUGAAAUCGACGAACUCGCAUUUUUGUGGCUGGCUAACAGAGCAAAAUCAGGUCCAACGAUUUGGAGUCUUGGGUGAAUUAUAGUAUCAGUAUGUAAUAGUAUGUAAUGAUGGGGGUUGUGUGUUUGUUUGGUUGGGUCUUGGUUUGGGUUGCCUAAUGUAUGACAGUGGCUAACGGUGUGUAGGAGUUAAAGGUUUUGUGGUGUAUUGUAAUUGUGUCCAGCUACUUGCUGGCUUUUUAGUAAUAAAAGUCCCCUUUGCUGUUAAAGAAAGCAAUUGCU